UCAAGACAAAAGACCAACAAAAUUACCUUCAUACCACCACCUAUAUGCAAAAUAAAUAGCAAAUUUAACAAAACCCUAAACUCUAACACUGGAAGGAACCUCAUAAAAAACCCUAAAGCAUAUACCUUGAUAUGAAGACUUGGAAUAACUCACUGUCAAGUUGCAAAGAGAGAAUUGAAACGUCAGCGGCUUCUUGAAUGUGUUAAUAAACGUCGAAGAUUAUGGAAGGAAUAACUCGCCGGUUGACUUUUGGGCUUUCAAAUGUUGGAGAUAAAUGAGUUCCUUUUUUCCCUCUUCUUC
rnacentral:lncRNA from 1 species